rnacentral:ncRNA from 1 species
AGAGAGGUCGCAAAGAUUAUCAGUAACUUAAUGGAGUUGCUAAAGCAAUGAAGAAAUUAAGCGAAAGGAUGAUUUGCCGAAGGAAGAUAAUGCUUUAGAGUUAUCUUCCUGGGACCUAGUUUAAUAGGCUAGGGACUGUCGCAGUUAAACAUUGCGGAGCGCUAUCGA